GAAGGCUCCAAGAAGCAAGAGACCAGGGAGUUCAACAAAGGACCAGCUCCUUGACCUUGUCACGAAUAUGAGUGCUUGACUGAUGAUACUCACUUGAAGGUAGAGAGCUGAAGUUAACUCAUUUGCGUUUUCGUUUAUCGGUUUCACUCCAAACUUCUCCUGCAAAUAUGGAAGAAAAUGUUCACUUUUUGUAUUUUUCGUUUUCCCCUCUUGGUUUGGUUGAUUUUUUUGGUCAGUGUGAUUCACUUACAGUGAAGAACAGCGUGUCGUGGACCAGCCAGAAAAAUAUCACGCUCACAAUCGCCAUGUAAGCCCCGAGGACGACCCCAGUGAUGAAGAUUUCCUUCAACUUCCA
rnacentral:lncRNA from 1 species